rnacentral:sRNA from 1 species
GAUUGACGGCUCAGGGCACGAGCGGGGACCGCAGCGGCGGAGUGCAGGAAUCACAGCCAUGGCCCCCACCCUCCAGGAUUUGGUCGAUAUGGCAUCUGUGCACAUGAAAACAAAGAACUUGCCAAUGCAAGAGAAGCUCUUCCUCUUAUAGAGGACUCUAGUAACUGUGACAUUGUCAAAGCUACUCAAUACGGAAUUUUUGAACGAUGUAAAGAGUUGGUAGAAGCAGGAUAUGAUGUCAGGCAACCAGAUAAAGAAAAUGUGUCGCUUCUUCAUUGGGCUGCUAUUAACAACAGACUGGAUCUUGUAAAGUUUUAUAUUUCAAAAGGUGCUGUUGUAGAUCAGUUGGGUGGAGAUUUAAAUUCAACUCCUCUUCACUGGGCCAUCCGACAAGGACAUUUACCUAUGGUCAUAUUAUUACUCCAGCGUGGUGCAGACCCCACUCUUAUUGAUGGAGA